rnacentral:rRNA from 1 species
UACGGAGGGUGCAAACGUUGCUCGGAAUCAUUGGGCGUAAAGCGCACGUAGGCGGCCUGUUAAGUCGGAUGUGAAAGCCCCGGGCUCAACCCGGGAAGUGCAUUCGAAACUGGCGGGCUUGAAUAUGGAAGAGGGUCGCGGAAUUCCCGGUGUAGAGGUGAAAUUCGUAGAUAUCGGGAGGAACACCAGUGGCGAAGGCGGCGACCUGGGC